rnacentral:rRNA from 1 species
UACGUAGGGGGCAAGCGUUGUCCGGAAUCAUUGGGCGUAAAGAGCGCGCAGGCGGUCGUUCAAGUCGCGUGUGAAAGCCCCCGGCUCAACUGGGGAGGGUCACGCGAUACUGAUCGACUCGAAGGCAGGAGAGGGUAGUGGAAUUCCCGGUGUAGUGGUGAAAUGCGUAGAGAUCGGGAGGAACACCAGAGGCGAAGGCGGCGACCUGGACAAGUACUGACACUCAACUACGAAAGCGUGGGGAGCAAACAGG